rnacentral:lncRNA from 1 species
AAGAAGCGGAAAGAAAAGGAAUCAGGAAAGACUCUUACUCAGCGUCACUUGACAUUCAUGGAUGUGGCUACAGAAUUCUCUCAGGAGGAGUGGAAAUAACUGGACCCUGCACAGAGGGCUUUAUACAGGGAAGUGAUGUAGGAGAACUACAGGAACCUGGUCUUUCUGGGAAUCUGUCUUCCUGACCUGAGCAUUAUCUCCAUGUUGGAGACAAAGCGAGAGCUCUGGACUCUGCAGGGUGAAGAUAGCAAACAAUCCAGAUGGCAGGGAAUGCAUCAAAGGUGUGAACACAGGGAGAAGCUGUACAUUGGGAAGUAAUACAGAAAAUGAGCCUAUUAAAAAUCAACUUGGAUUAACCUUCAGUCACAUCUGCCUGAAUUGCAGCUAUUUUAAGCUGGAAGGAAAAUUUAUGGAAGUAAUCAAAUUGAAAAGUUUACAAACCAUAGUUCCUCAGUUCCACCACUUCAAAAAAAUUCUUCUAGUGUUAAAUAAAUACAGAAAUGAUUUCAUUGAUUUCCCAUCACUCCCACAAGACGACAAAGCACACAUUAGAGGAAAAAUCUUAUGGACGUAGUUAAGAUGGCAAAGUUUUUAGAGUGUCUGCAAGUCUUACUAAUCAUCAAGUAAUCCAUACUGCAGAUAAACUUUACAAAUGCAGUAAUGUGGCAAGGUCUUUAGUUGCAAUCCACACCUUGCAGAUCACUGGAGAAUUCAUACUGGACAGAAGCCUUACAAACGUAGUGACUGUCACAAGGUGUUUAACAGCAAUUCAAACCUUGCACAACAUCAAAGAAUUCAUCCUGGAGAGAGGCCUCGCAAAUGUAACGAAUGUGGUAAAGCAUUUAAAGAGUGUUCAGGACUUAGCGCCCAUCUUGUAAUCCAUUCUGGAGAAAAACCUUACAAAUGUAAUGAGUGUACAAGAACUUCAGGCACAAAUUUUCCCUCACUCAACAGAGAAGUCAUACUGCAGAAAAACCUUACACACGUAAUGAAUGUGGCAAGGUCUUUGGUCAAUUGCACGGCAUCAAAUAAUUCAUAGUACAGAGAAGCCUUACAAAUGUAACAAACGUUGAAAGCAUUUAGCAAGCAUUCAGGACUUAUGGCCCAUCUUCUAAUCCAUACUGGAGAGAAACUUUACAAAUAUAGUGAAUGCGGCAAGGUCUUCGGACACAAGUUAUACCUAAUCAACCAUCAGAUAAUUCAUACUGGAGAGAGACCUUACAAGUGUAAUUCAUGUGGCAAGGUGAAUCAAAAUUUACACCUUGCAUGACAUUGGAAGAUUCAUACUGAAGAGAAUUCACUGCACACCUUACAGAUGCAA